rnacentral:rRNA from 1 species
GACGAACGCUGGCGGCGUGCUUAACACAUGCAAGUCGAACGGAAAGGCCCUGCUUUUGUGGGGUGCUCGAGUGGCGAACGGGUGAGUAACACGUGAGUAACCUGCCCUUGACUUUGGGAUAACUUCAGGAAACUGGGGCUAAUACCGGAUAGGAGCUCCUGCUGCAUGGUGGGGGUUGGAAAGUUUCGGCGGUUGGGGAUGGACUCGCGGCUUAUCAGCUUGUUGGUGGGGUAGUGGCUUACCAAGGCUUUGACGGGUAGCCGGCCUGAGAGGGUGGCCGGCCACAUUGGGACUGAGAUACGGCCCAGACUCCUACGGUAGGCAGCAGUGGGGAAUAUUGCACAAUGGGCGGAAGCCUGAUGCAGCAACGCCGCGUGCGGGAUGACGGCCUUCAGGUUGUAAACCGCUUUCGCCUGUGACGAAGCGUGAGUGACGGUAAUGGGUAAAGAAGCACCGGCUAACUACGUG